CCUACGGGUGGCAGCAGUGGGGAAUCUUGGACAAUGGGGGCAACCCUGAUCCAGCGAUGCCGCGUGGGUGAAGAAGGCCUUCGGGUUGUAAAGCCCUUUAGGCUGGGAAGAAGAAUAUGGGAUGAAUAAUCCUGUAUUUUGACGGUACCAGCAGAAUAAGCACCGGCAAACUCUGUGCCAGCAGCCGCGGUAAUACAGAGGGUGCAAGCGUUAAGCGGAUUUAGUGGGCGUAAAGGGCGCGUAGGCGGUUGAAAGCCCCGGGCUUAACCUGGGAAGUGCAUCGCAAACGACAUAACUGGAGUAGGUGAGAGGGUGGCGGAAUUUCCGGUGUAGCGGUGAAAUGCGUAGAGAUCGGAAGGAACGUCAAUGGCGAAGGCAGCCACCUGGCACCAUACUGACGCUGAGGCGCGAAAGCGUGGGGAGCGAACAGGAUUAGAUACCCCUGUAGUC
rnacentral:rRNA from 1 species